rnacentral:lncRNA from 1 species
AUUUUGAAUUAUCUGAUGUAGGCAGGUUGCACUGUAUAACCAUGGUGACUGAUAACUGGUGUUUAUUUAUGGGUAUUUGAUUUUGAAUUAUCUGAUACAGGCAGGUUGCACUGUAUAACCAUGGUGACUGAUAACUGGUGUUUAUUUAUGGGUAAUUUUGAGAUCUGAUGUAGGCAGGUUGCACUGUAUAACCAUGGUGACUGAUAACUGGUGUUUAUUUAUAGGUAUUUGAUUUUGAAUUAUCUGAUGUACAAUGAUGUAGGCAGGUUGCACUGUAUAACCAUGGUGACUGAUAACUGGUGUUUAUUUAUGGGUAUUUGAUUUUGAAUUAUCUGAUGUAGGCAGGUUGCACUGUAUAACCAUGGUGACUGAUAACUGCUGUUUAUUUAUAGGUAUUUGAUUUUGAAUUAUCUGAGGACGAAAUGACACAGCUGACAAAUCUGAAUAAAGAUCACAGAUUGAGUACAGAAGACAUGUAAGUAUGAAGUACGCCAUCUGGUUGGGGAGGGGGAUGUGGUAAUAUUACAGAUUGAGUGAUUGAGUACAGAAGACAUGUAAGUAUGAAGUACGCUUUCUGAGGGGAUGUUGUAAUAUUACAGAUUGAGUACAGAAGACAUGUAAGUAUGAAGUACGUCUCCUGGUGGGGGAGGGGGAUGUGGUAAUAUUACAGAUUGAGUACAGAAGACAUGUAAGUAUGAAGUACGCUUCCUGGUGGGGGAGGGGGGAUGUGGUAAUAUUACAGAAGACAUGUGAGUAUAAAGUAUGCCUCCUGGUGGGGAGGGGGGUGUGGUAAUUUUACAGAUUGAGUGAUUGAGUACAGAAGACAUGUAAGUAUAAAGUACACCUCCCGGUGCGGGAGAUUCUUGCUGUAAUGAAUACCCAUUGGUGGACUUUGGCUGUUGUUUGCUCUUUGGUUGGGUUGUUGUCUCUUAGAAACAUUCCCCAUUUCCAAUCUCAAUUGUAUAAGAUAUCUAUUUUAAACUAAUUCCAUAUCACAAGGGUUGGCUGGGGUAUGGAAAUAUGGUCAUCUCUUUGAAUGCUUUAAGGGCAUACGAUACAGUUGCAGGAGAGUUAAUGACUUUGCUAACUUAAAUUGUUAUUAUCAGGAAAAGAUUCAGUUUUCGACAGAUUUUUAUCAUUCAAACUUAUUUUACUUGAAAACGGCUUCAUGGACCCCUCAUUUUUAAAAAUGACAUUUUGGUUUGAUCGUCCGAGAAGAUUAUUGUGUGCCAAUUUUCAUGAAAAUGUAAAUAGUGCAAUUUUUUAAAUUUGAUAAUAUACAGCAAAAUGAUGUUUUUUCUACAUUCAUGACAUUUGAUAAAUAGGUUUUUCUGAAUAAAAAUUGUAUAAACUUUUAGGAUACUUAAAAAAUACAGAAAUUACAAAUUAUUUAACAAAAAAAACAAUUUGUGUUUAUCUUUUAAAACAAAAAAGUUAUGUCUUUCUUUCGAAAGGGAAAAUACAUCCACAAAUCCGAAUUUAAUACACAAAAUUUCGACCUUUUUUAACUCAAAAGUAGCACAUGAAGGUAUAUUUUUUAUUACAACUUUAAUUUAAUUAGGUAAAAAAUAGUCUAUAUGGAAAUUUUUAUCAAAAUGUAAAUAUGGGAUCAAAACUGUAUCGUAUGCCCUUAACUGUUAUGGGUGUAUGACCCUUGCUAAAGUGGGGUGUCUAUUGGAGUGUUUAGUUCUACAGCUAUGUCUGGUUGGAAUCAUGACAUUAUAUCCAAUGGGUGUGUGUGUCUGAUAAUAUUCCGUCCUUUUUUUCUAGAAAAAUUAAUAGAAUAUGUGACUUGGUUAAUGCCAUGAUAUCACAUAUGAAUUUGACAGUUUGAUAACAAAACGGCUGAUCUCAUGCAAUUUCAGUGAUUUUUAUGCCCCACCUAUGAUAGUAGAGGGGCAUUAUGUUUUCUGGUCUGUGCCUCCGUUCGUCCGUCUGUGCGUCCGUUCAUCCGUCUGUGCGUCUGUUUCGCAUCAGGUUAAAGUAUUUGGUCAAGGUAGUUUUUGAAGAAGUUGAAGUCUAAUCAACUUGAAACUUAGUACACAUGUUCCCUAUGAUAUGAUCUUUCUAAUUUUAAUUCCAAAUUAAAGUUUUGACCCCAAUUUCACGGUUCACUGAACACAGAAAAUGAUAUUGGAGUGGGGCAUCCGUGUACUUGGGACACAUUCUUGUUAAAAGUAAAAUUGAACCACACUUUCAGUAUAUUUAAAACAAAUUAAUUAUCAACAGGUGAAGACAAAUUGACUUUGAAUUAGAUAAACAAAUAUUUCCUUAUUUUCUAUAUAAUUAGGAUUUUAUUUAUAAUUUCAGAGCAUUAAAGCACAAGUACUAUCCAUUUAACGAGGAGUUUUGAGUAACUUUUGACACAGCUGUUAUGCCAUUUAACGAGGAAUUUUGAGUAACUUUUGACACAGCUGUUGAAACCAAAGAUUGCCUUAUAUUUACAGAGCUUCCUACAGACAUUUCUUUAUAUGCUUAAUGCUUUGUAUAUUAUUCUCUACAAGCCGAUAGGAAAUAUGUUUUUAUACACAAUUGGUCAAAUCCAAAUCUUAAGUUUUAAAAUAAUGUUUUAACUGCAUUUUAUAGAACUGUGAUUUAAAAACACACUUUUAAGGAAAUUACAUCAAAAUUUGUUUUAAUUUUUCAUUUUUAAGUUUUAAAUUAGAUUGUAGAUUGUGUAAUUCUGCAAUGUGUUGAUGAAUAAAGAUUGUCGAAUGGAACAAAUUCUAUAUAAUGGUAGUUAUGAUAAUUGUCUUUGAGUAUAUUUCAUCAACAUGAUUAAGAAGGAAUUCAAUAAUGUCAAAGACAAACCCUUAAUCAGAUAUGAUGUAUCAAUUAAUUAGAUAUGAAUGGUUCAAAAUAGUAAAGUAUUAUUGUGAUCAGGUUUAUAAGAAUAGAUCAAUCGGGUAUAGGGUUGUUGUUAGAUAUAAUAAAUCAAAUAUUGUUAUAAAGUUAAGGAUGCCAUAUGUUGAUGUUUCUCUAUUGUUAGACUAUGGAUAUAUUAUAUAUAAUUGCUGUAAUAAAAACUUGAAUAUUUGCU